AGUGAACGCUGGCGGUAGGCCUAACACAUGCAAGUCGAACGGCAGCACAGUAAGAGCCUGCUCUUACGGGUGGCGAGUGGCGGACGGGUGAGGAAUACAUCGGAAUCUACUUUUUCGUGGGGGAUAACGUAGGGAAACUUACGCUAAUAUCGCAUACGACUUACGGUUGAAAGCAGGGGAUCCUUUGAUCUUGCGCGAUUGAAUGAGCCGAUGCCGGAUUGGCUAGUUGGCGGGGUAAAGGCCCACCAAGGCGACGAUCCGUAGCUGGUCUGAGAGAAUGAUCAGCCGCACUAGAGCUGAGACACGGUCCAGACUACUACGAGAGGCAGCAGUGGGGAAUAUUGGACAGUGGGGGCGAGCCUGAUCCAACCAUACCGCGUGUGUGAAGAAGGCCUUCGGGUUGUAAAGACCUUUUGUUGGGAAAAAAAAGCAGCAGGUUAAUACCCCGCUAUUCUGACGGUACCCAAAGAAUAAGCACCGGCUAACUUCGUG
rnacentral:rRNA from 1 species